rnacentral:rRNA from 1 species
AUUGAACGCUGGCGGCAGGCUUAACACAUGCAAGUCGAGCGGGGGAGGUUGCUUCGGUAACUGACCUAGCGGCGGACGGGUGAGUAAUGCUUAGGAAUCUGCCUAUUAGUGGGGGACAACAUUCCGAAAGGGAUGCUAAUACCGCAUACGCCCUACGGGGGAAAGCAGGGGAUCUUCGGACCUUGCGCUAAUAGAUGAGCCUAAGUCGGAUUAGCUAGUUGGUGGGGUAAAGGCCUACCAAGGCGACGAUCUGUAGCGGGUCUGAGAGGAUGAUCCGCCACACUGGGACUGAGACACGGCCCAGACUGCUACGGGAGUCAGCAGUGGGGAAUAUUGGACAAUGGGCGAAAGCCUGAUCCAGCCAUGCCGCGUGUGUGAAGAAGGUCUUCGGAUUGUAAAGCACUUUAAGUUGGGAGGAAGGGCAGUAAGUUAAUACCUUGCUGUUUUGACGUUACCAACAGAAUAAGCACCGGCUAACUUCGUGCCAGCCGCCGCCGUAAGAC